UACGGAGGGUGCAAGCGUUAAUCGGAAUUACUGGGCGUAAAGCGCUCGUAGGCGGUUUGUUAAGUCGGAUGUGAAAGCCCCGGGCUCAACCUGGGAACUGCAUUCGAUACUGGCAAACUAGAGUAUAGAAGAGGCAAGUGGAAUUCCGGGUGUAGCGGUGAAAUGCGUAGAUAUCCGGAGGAACAUCAGUGGCGAAGGCGACUUGCUGGUCUAAUACUGACGCUGAGGAGCGAAAGCGUGGGGAGCAAACGGGAUUAGAUACCCGCGUA
rnacentral:rRNA from 1 species